GUGUCAGCAGCCGCGGUAAUACGUAGGUGGCAAGCGUUGUCCGGAAUUAUUGGGCGUAAAGGAUGCGUAGGUGGUCCUUUAAGUGGGAUGUGAAAUCCCUGGGCUUAACCCAGGAAUUGCAUUCCAAACUGGAGGACUAGAGUGCAGGAGAGGAAAGUGGAAUUCCCAGUGUAGCGGUGAAAUGCGUAGAGAUUGGGAGGAACACCAGUGGCGAAGGCGGCUUUCUGGACUGUAACUGACACUGAGGCAUGAAAGCGUGGGGAGCAAACAGGAUUAGAUACCCUGGUAGUCCACGCCGUAAACGAUGGGUACUAGGUGUAGGGGGGUCCCCCCUCUGUGCCGCAGUUAACACAUUAAGUACCCCGCCUGGGGAGUACGAUCGCAAGAUUAAA
rnacentral:rRNA from 1 species